AUUGAACGCUGGCGGCAUGCUUUACACAUGCAAGUCGAACGGCAGCGCGGGCUUCGGCCUGGCGGCGAGUGGCGAACGGGUGAGUAAUACAUCGGAACGUGCCCAGUAGUGGGGGAUAGUUCGGCGAAAGCCGGAUUAAUACCGCAUACGACCUGAGGGUGAAAGCGGGGGAUCUUCGGACCUCGCGCUAUUGGAGCGGCCGAUGGCAGAUUAGCUAGUUGGUGGGGUAAAGGCCUACCAAGGCGACGAUCUGUAGCUGGUCUGAGAGGACGACCAGCCACACUGGGACUGAGACACGGCCCAGACUCCUACGGGAGGCAGCAGUGGGGAAUUUUGGACAAUGGGCGAAAGCCUGAUCCAGCAAUGCCGCGUGUGUGAUGAAGGCCUUCGGGUUGUAAAGCACUUUUGGCGGGAACGAAAAGGACUGUGCCAAUACCACGGUUCGAUGACGGUACCCGCAGAAUAAGCACCGGCUAACUACGUG
rnacentral:rRNA from 1 species